rnacentral:rRNA from 1 species
GUCUUUUGACUGAUUUUUUUAUGGAGAGUUUGAUCCUGGCUCAGGACGAACGCUGGCGGCGUGCUUAACACAUGCAAGUCGAACGGAAAGGCCUAGCUUGCUA